AUUGAACGCUGGCGGCAUGCUUUACACAUGCAAGUCGAACGGCAGCACAGGGAGCUUGCUCCUGGGUGGCGAGUGGCGAACGGGUGAGUAAUGUAUCGGAACGUGCCUGGUAGUGGGGGAUAACUACUCGAAAGAGUGGCUAAUACCGCAUGAGAUCUUUGGAUGAAAGCGGGGGACCUUCGGGCCUCGUGCUGCUGGAGCGGCCGAUAUCAGAUUAGGUUGUUGGUGGGGUAAAGGCCUACCAAGCCUGCGAUCUGUAGCUGGUCUGAGAGGACGACCAGCCACACUGGGACUGAGACACGGCCCAGACUCCUACGGGAGGCAGCAGUGGGGAAUUUUGGACAAUGGGCGCAAGCCUGAUCCAGCAAUGCCGCGUGCAGGACGAAGGCCUUCGGGUUGUAAACUGCUUUUGUACAGAACGAAAAGUCUCUGGCUAAUAUCUAGAGAUCAUGACGGUACUGUAAGAAUAAGCACCGGCUAACUACGUG
rnacentral:rRNA from 1 species